rnacentral:rRNA from 1 species
UGGCUACGAGGACGAACGCUGGCGGCGUGCUUAACACAUGCAAGUCGAACGAUGAACCGGAGCUUGCUCCGGGGAUUAGUGGCGAACGGGUGAGUAACACGUGGGCAACCUGCCCCAGACACCGGGAUAACCUUCCGAAAGGAUGGCUAAUACCGGAUACGACCACUUCGGGCAUCCGACGGUGGUGGAAAGGAUUCUGGUCUGGGAUGGGCCCGCGGCCUAUCAGCUUGUUGGUGGGGUAAUGGCCUACCAAGGCGACGACGGGUAGCCGGCCUGAGAGGGCGACCGGCCACACUGGGACUGAGACACGGCCCAGACUCCUACGGGAGGCAGCAGUGGGGAAUAUUGCGCAAUGGGCGAAAGCCUGACGCAGCGACGCCGCGUGAGGGACGAAGGUCUUCGGAUUGUAAACCUCUUUCAGCAGGGACGAAGCGAAAGUGACUGUACCUGCAGAAGAAGCACCGGCUAACUACGUG